AUUGAACGCUGGCGGCAGGCCUAACACAUGCAAGUCGAGCGAGUGGCGGACGGGUGAGUAAUGUAUGGGAAACUGCCCGAUGGAGGGGGAUAACUACUGGAAACGGUAGCUAAUACCGCAUACCAUCAGAUGUACCCAGAUGGGAUUAGCUAGUUGGUGGGGUAACGGCGCACCUAGGCGACGAUCUCUAGCUGGUCUGAGAGGAUGAUCAGCCACACUGGAACUGAGACACGGCCCAGACUCCUACGGGAGGCAGCAGUGGGGAAUAUUGCACAAUGGGCGCAAGCCUGAUGCAGCCAUGCCGCGUGUAUGAAGAAGGCCUUAGGGUUGUAAAGUACUUUCAGCGGGGAGGCGUUACCCGCAGAAGAAGCACCGGCUAACUCCGUGCCAGCAGCCGCGGUAAUAC
rnacentral:rRNA from 1 species